UGGGGAAUAUUGCACAAUGGGGGAAACCCUGAUGCAGCGACGCCGCGUGAACGAAGAAGGUAUUCGUAUCGUAAAGUUCUGUCCUAUGGGAAGAUAAUGACAGUACCAUAGAAGAAAGCUCCGGCUAAAUACGUGCCAGCAGCCGCGGUAAUACGUAUGGAGCGAGCGUUGUCCGGAAUUAUUGGGCGUAAAGGGUACGCAGGCGGUUUAAUAAGUCGAAUGUUAAAGAUCGGGGCUCAACCCCGCAAAGCAUUGGAAACUGAUAAACUUGAGUAGUGGAGAGGAAAGUGGAAUUCCUAGUGUAGUGGUGAAAUACGUAGAUAUUAGGAGGAAUAACAGUAGCGAAGGCGACUUUCUGGACACAAACUGACGCUGAGGUACGAAAGCGUGGGGAGCAAACAGG
rnacentral:rRNA from 1 species